GAAAAAUUUAGUUAAGGUAUAAAUAAUAUAAGUGUUGUCAACUUUAAGAGAUCGUAAGAUAGUUUUCA
rnacentral:tRNA from 1 species